UGUUUGCAACUUUGCAUCUGCAGUAGAAAUAACGCUUAAUUUCAUGCUUGCGAUUCUUCAACAAUUUCCCAUACGUUUUUUAACUGUUUCGUGCGUAAUAAAAUUUAACGAUACAGAUUCUCAAGAAAAAAAAGCUUGUGUUUUUUGGUUAUCCACUAUCCAUUCAGCUUUGUUGGUUGGCUUUCGAUUUAUAAAACUGAUCUUCGACUACUUCUAAUACUUUUUGGCAUGCCUAAAAAGUGGAAUCGCCGGAAGAAGAGAGACCAGUCAGCUCCGGACUGCGAGCGUGUCACUACUAAUUGCCGGGAAAGAUGGAGGCAGCAGCAUGUAAACACCGCAUUCUGCAAGCUGCGCAGGAUACUUCCUACAUAUCCCAUUGAUAAGAAGCUGAGCAAGCAGGAAAUAUUACGAAGAGCCAUCAAAUACAUUCAUCUGCUUGAACGAGUUCUGCGCUGCAUUGAUAAGUCGGCAACAGGCUCAGUCGACGAAAUGCAAAUCGGUUUCCGAUAACCUUUAUGAGCUAGAACAUAAUGCCAUGCUCGGAAUCUGUGCGACACCGAAAGGACAAAAAGAUGCACGCUAAAUUCCCUUGCUGACCCUUUUUCUGUAUAUCGGAUUAUUCGGACGACAAUCACAACAUCCGCUUCUAGUUUUGACUUUUGACAUGUGCAUGAUGCGAUACAGUAAAGUGCUAGCGGUGGUUUAAUACGGUGCAAUCGCGCCCUUUUGCGUCUCGAGCGCAGUAAAUAUCACUAACAGUACGUUAAUUGCUAGCGAGUCCCGUUUUGGGUUAUAAACUGUUCA